rnacentral:rRNA from 1 species
UACGUAGGGUGCAAGCGUUGUCCGGAAUUAUUGGGCGUAAAGAGCUCGUAGGCGGUUUGUCGCGUCGAAUGUGAAAACCCGGGGCUCAACCCCGGGCCUGCAUUCGAUACGGGCAGACUAGAGUUCGGUAGGGGAGUCUGGAAUUCCUGGUGUAGCGGUGAAAUGCGCAGAUAUCAGGAGGAACACCGAUGGCGAAGGCAGGUCUCUGGGCCAUUACUGACACUGAGAAGCGAAAGCAUGGGGAGCGAACAGG